AUGGAGAUAGUGGAUAAGAUUGCGGAGCCUGAAGACCCUUUGGUGGUCACUGCUCGGAAGGUGCAGAGCCUGGAGCCGCCACUGCCGAUUCCGAUAAAGGCGUCAUGGAAAGGGAAGACCUCCCAGCAGCAGGAUGAGAAGGAUCUGCCAGAUGAUGGCGAGGAGAGCUUCCAGAGCGUGGAUUCCUCGGAUGAGGGUGGCCGGAGUUCUUUCUCUGGGGCCAGUCACCCCCUCGAGCCAAUUGAUAUGGAUCUUAUGAAGACGGUGUAUGUCGCAAUUGAUGAGGAGAAGCCUGAGCCGCCGGUGUGUAUGGUGCGAGGACUAUCAGCGAAAGGGCCAUUCAUGGAUGACCUCUCGCUCCGUGUCACAGGCCUGAAGGCAAAUGCAGUAGUCUGUGCAGGCAGUGGUGAAGGCUUGCCCGAGGAGAGGAAGGUGUCUGGUGCUGCAGUGGCGUCGUUGGCCACGGCGCGCUCGUCACAGGCUACGGAAACUGUGUCCUUGCCUCCAGAUUCGGAGGAGAAAGACUGUGUCUGGGAUGCAUCGCUCCCUCCCAGCGGCAAUGUCAGCCCUCACAGCAGCAUUGACAGCAUGGGGGUGGUCACUGCCAUGAGCAUCGCGAGCAACCGCAGUAAUAACACAUACAAAAGUGAAGCCAUAGCUACUGGAACCAUGCUUACUGUAGAGAGGAACUUUGGAAGUGUAAAGAGUAGUGUUCGAGGUGACUCUUUAGAAAGUGCAAAAACAAGCAUGAGCCGAGCAAGUGACAGCAGUGGUGUUAGCGACGAUAGCAGCUGGAGCCAUAUCACUGGAGGUACCAGUAAGCCUCAUAAGGGGAAUGAUCCCAGAGGAAAGGCGAUUCAUGCUGUGCGGAUUCGAGAUGGCGUGCUUGGGAUGAGCCACUUUAGACUGCUCAAGCGUCUAGGCUGUGGUGACAUUGGCAGCGUAUACCUCUCAGAGUUGAGUGGGACUAGGUGCUACUUUGCAAUGAAAGUAAUGGACAAGGCAUCCUUGGCCAGCAGGAAGAAGUUGAAUAGGGCUCAAACUGAGAGGGAGAUCCUGCAGCUUCUGGAUCAUCCAUUCCUACCAACUCUGUAUACACAUUUUGAGACUGAUAGGUUCUCGUGUCUGGUCAUGGAAUUUUGUCCGGGUGGUGACUUGCACACUCUGCGACAGAAACAGCCAGGAAAAUAUUUCUCCGAGUAUGCAGCAAGGUUUUAUGCUGCAGAAGUUCUUCUAGCUAUUGAGUAUCUGCACAUGCUGGGAGUCGUUUACAGGGACCUGAAGCCAGAAAAUGUUCUGGUGCGUGAUGAUGGCCACAUAAUGCUUUCAGAUUUCGACCUCUCCCUGAGAUGUGCAGUGUCACCUACACUAAUCAGGACAUCGGCCUUUGAUUCUGAUCCCAGAAGGGCGGGUGGUUCAUUCUGUGUGCAACCUACUUGCAUGGAGCCUACUUCAGCCUGUAUUCAGCCAGCUUGUUUCAUGCCCAAAUUGUUUGGUCAGAAGAGCAAGAAAAAGACCAAAAAGACAAGGUCUGACCUUGGACAGAGUGCCAUCAACCUGCCCGAGCUCCUCGCAGAACCAACAUCAGCUCGAUCCAUGUCAUUCGUUGGGACUCACGAGUACUUGGCCCCAGAAAUCAUCAAAGGCGAAGGCCAUGGAAGUGCGGUCGACUGGUGGACCUUUGGUAUCUUCUUGCACGAGCUUCUAUACGGCAAGACACCAUUCAAGGGGUCAGGCAACCGCGCCACGCUGUUCAACGUGGUCGGUCAGCAGCUGAAGUUCCCCGAGUCGCCGUCGACGAGCUACGCCGGCAGGGACCUCAUCAGGGGGCUCCUGGCCAAGGAGCCGCAGCAGCGCCUCGGCGUGAAGAGGGGCGCGACGGAGAUCAAGCAGCACCCCUUCUUCGAGGGCGUGAACUGGGCCCUGAUCCGAUGCAGCACGCCCCCCGAGGUCCCAAGGCCCGUCGAGGCCGAGCUGCCGGUGAAGUACGGGGUGUCGGAGGCGGUCGCGAGCACCAACAAGAGGGUGGUCGGCGCGGACGCCAAGUCCGGCGGGAAGUACCUUGACUUUGAGUUCUUUUAG
rnacentral:rRNA from 1 species